AGAUGGAAGACCUGUCUGAACGUAUUCUCAGAGAGAAAGUAGUGAUGAUAGAAAACAGCAUGUAUAAAGAGGGUAUUGUUCUCCACCCUGCCCAGCAAACCAUGCUGCCUGGUCUUUAACACCAAAGAAAGUGCUAAAAACAACCCCCAAGCCAAAUUAUCCCUCUCAUCCACCUGCUGAGAAAUCAACUGGAAAAAACUUGUAGAACUAUACAGGAAAUGCCUUUUUUUUUAAUGUACUGAGUCAGUCUGGCAAGUUGAUAUAAACAAACUAUACACGAGGACUACUUUGCUUUGUCAGUGAAAUGCAUCUGCAUCUGUGGGGAAACACAUCAGUGGCUGAACAGCACCAAGCCGCACUACACAACAUUUUGGGACAGCAAUAAUUUGAGGCAGGACAGGAACAGAAACUCAGACCAGAUUUUAGGGAAGAGAGCCAGGAAAUUCAGCAUGUAUUUGGAAGAGCCUGAGAGCUCAGAAAUAUUCAAUGAAACUUUCUGACUGCCACAAGAAAUGAAAAGCGGCUGCAUUCCCCUACGGUCAAAGUGUCCUAUUAAAGACUUCACAAGCAAGAUUGCUCUCCAGAAACAGAUUGGAAUACUUUUCUGCAGCUGUGAAAGUCUUAGAGGAGUCAUGGUCUCUCUAAUUAUAUGUCAUGUGUCAGAAGCAAAACAGAGAUAUUAGUGUCUAAGUGAAGACAACAUCACACUAAAUGGAGGACACUUUAAAGAUGGGAAUAUCCAGGAAAGUGGACACAUUCACUGGCAUCAAUUUAUUCUUGUGAUCUUCAAAAUUCUAUGAAACAGGAAGAUCAGACUCCGGCAUCUAUUGCUUAAAACCUCACCUCUACAGUUACACUGAAUCUAAGUCAGGAUCAUAAUAUAAUAACUGGAAUUGCUAUCCUCACCUGCUUGUAGAAAAUGAAGACAUGAAAAGAAUUCUCACUAAUUUAUAUUCCCAAGUGAAAUAUAAUAAUAUGGAAGAAAACAGCAAAUAUGGAUGGAUCCAUGUUGGCAAAAAAGCAAGCCUUCCUGAAGGAUAUGCAAUUUUCCUAGUGCCUGUGACCCUUUGGUUUGCACUCUCAAAAUCUUGCUUGUUUGGUGGUUUGAAUUUGCC